UUUAGUCUCGCUUCCAGAAGUUUCUCGAGCUGCUGAUUCAUUUCUGAGUCCCGCCUCUUUACCGCAGCGCUUCAGCGGUGAUUUACAGAUUGGAUUCGUUUUUUCUGCGAUUGGAAAUAACUGUCCUGCAGCGUUGGAAAUGUGUCUCCUGAGUGAACAGAGGACUUUCCUAUAAGGACUUUGGUACAAACCCACCUCAAGUACUGGGCACUCCGGAUUCUACCAAUGACGUGUGGAGUUACUUUGAGCUGAAUAACGGUGUAAAAUGUUUGGCCAUGGUGCACAAGAUACUGGAUCUCAGAAAGCUGCGGGAGAUCGGAGGAGGGCUAUUUACCAAAGAUGGAAUGCUGGUCUUGCAUGACUGGAAAUCAGUG